rnacentral:rRNA from 1 species
UACGUAGGGGGCAAGCGUUGUCCGGAAUCAUUGGGCGUAAAGAGCGUGUAGGCGGCCCGAUAAGUCCGCCGUGAAAGUCCAGGGCUCAACCCUGGAAUGCCGGUGGAUACUGUCGGGCUAGAGUCCGGAAGGGGCGAGUGGAAUUCCUGGUGUAGCGGUGAAAUGCGCAGAUAUCAGGAGGAACACCGAUGGCGAAGGCAGCUCGCUGGGACGGUACUGACGCUGAGGUGCGAAAGCGUGGGGAGCAAACAGG